rnacentral:rRNA from 1 species
UGGUGGAGUGAUUUGUCUGGUUAAUUCCGUUAACGAACGAGACCUCGACCUGCUAACUAGUACUGUCGACUCUUCGGGGUCGGCUGCUGACUUCUUAGAGGGACUAUCGGUGUGUAGCCGAUGGAAGUUCGAGGCAAUAACA